AGUGAACGCUGGCGGUAGGCCUAACACAUGCAAGUCGAACGGCAGCACAGUAAGAGCUUGCUCUUACGGGUGGCGAGUGGCGGACGGGUGAGGAAUACAUCGGAAUCUACUUUUUCGUGGGGGAUAACGUAGGGAAACUUACGCUAAUACCGCAUACGACCUACGGGUGAAAGCAGGGGAUCUUCGGACCUUGCGCGAUUGAAUGAGCCGAUGUCGGAUUAGCUAGUUGGCGGGGUAAAGGCCCACCAAGGCGACGAUCCGUAGCUGGUCUGAGAGGGUGAUCGGCCACACUGGAACUGAGACACGGUCCAGGCUCCUGCGGGAGGCAGCAGUGGGGAAUAUUGGACAAUGGGCGCAAGCCUGAUCCAGCCAUACCGCGUGGGUGAAGAAGGCCUUCGGGUUGUAAAGCCCUUUUGUUGGGAAAGAAAAGCAGCAGGUUAAUACCCCGCUGUUCUGACGGUACCCAAAGAAUAAGCACCGGCUAACUUCGUG
rnacentral:rRNA from 1 species